rnacentral:lncRNA from 1 species
GACGGCGCGAAAAAUCGAAAGCAAAAAAAUUAAAAAUUGUUUUAGCAAUUUGUAAUGGUGUUGCCUUUAAGGUUGCUAAUAACCAGCAACCUAACUUCCACGGUUGUUCGCCCACAUAUUCACCCAACACUGCAGCAAGUAUAUGCUACUGUUACACCAUUACUGCGAAGAUCGAUUGUGUCAGACAUAUACGAGUAAAAUGUAAUAUAUAUAUUUCUGUAGUAAUGUCAGCUUAUACACCAGCCGGGUACGAUACCUGCUGGUUCCGUAAAAGUUGAAAUUUGUGGAGUAUGUGGAAACAUAGACAACAUGGCACGAGUUUGAAUGUAGACCUUGAAACUACAUGGCAACCAACAAAUAGAGUAUUGCCUAUGCUAGGCAGAGCUUUAAAGCGCCUAGCAUUGCACCCUAAAUGAAGGCAUCUUGUUACUUGUGUAUAUGAAUUUGAAAUAACGAACUGCAUUUGCUUUCGAAAAGAAUGUAUGUGUUUUUAAAGUACUUUUAGAAAUGGGACUUAAACGUCGCUCUACAGGUGACGGUAUACAAUUUGCGAGUCUAAGUCCGAACUUAGCACUAUCAUUUUGGUUAUGAAGGUAUCAUAGCUAGAAGCUUUAUUUAGCUUUGUAUAGCUAUAUAUUGCGUACAAGAUGAAUUAUCAAAAUAUUUUGUAUAAACAAUAAAAUAAUAAUUAUACUAGUCCAAAGCACGCUGCAGCACCGCGAAUACGCGGUAGGUCAUCGUCAUUACCUGAGGUCGCCAACGAUAUAGGCUGAAAUCCUUUCGCGGUCAGUCGAGCUGGUUUCUGCGCACGCGCAAUUAUGUUAAAUAAUAAGGUUUUGUAUGUUUGUGAGCCGUUAUACCAACGGUUUUUGUAUGCACAUAGUGCUAAGUUUUCACUCUAAAAGUAUAAAAAUAAUUACGACACGCAUAAAAGUUCAUAACACUGUUAAAUACGUUACGGGUGCAAUAAAACUGCUUGCUGACUAUGGAAUUUUAGGUAAAACAUGUCAAAAUUUGUAGAUGUCUUACUAACUUAACUAAUUGUUUUAAUAAUUUAAAAUAUGUUAAUUGUUCGAAGCAGAAGCACCAUUACACCCGAUAACAGAAUAAUUACGAUUAUAGGAACUUACAAUUGUAAUCAGCUUCUGUCCAUAUUGACAUACCAUAAAGAAUUGGGCAACAGUAACGAAAAAGAAGCUGAGAAAAUUUAAAAAUCCGAAACCAAAGCCCUCCAAUUUCAGUUGAACAACAAUUAUGCAAAAUACGGCGCAGUUUGAUAUUAAUUUAAAUAAUAGAGUUGUUCCAAAAACUUCAUUUAGUUCGCUACAAAGACUGUAAAUUAAAUAAAUAUAAAAUUUUAAUUUUAAUAUUAAUACAUGUAUUAUAAAAAUAUAUUACCAUAAGUACUACUAGUACUCAUUCACAAACCGAGAAUUUACUAUGUUCAUAUGGUAUAAUGUAUAUUUGUUUACAGGCAUCAUAUUUUAUGAGAUUGAUUACAAAAUAAAAUAUGAAAUAUAACUUACUCCAA